GCCAGCAUGGUGGGGUGGUUUGAACACUGGAUUAUGACUCUGGAGACCAGGGUUCAAAUCCCAGCUCUGCCA
rnacentral:tRNA from 1 species